AGACGUCUACAUUAGAUACCCGCGUAGUCCCAGCCGUAAACUAUGCGCGUUAGGUGUAUCGGUGACCACGAGUCACCGAGGUGCCGAAGGGAAACCGUGAAACGUGCCGCCUGGGAAGUACGGUCGCAAGGCUGAAACUUAAAGGAAUUGGCGGGGAGCACCACAACGGGUGGAGCCUGCGGUUUAAUUGGACUCAACGCCGGGAAGCUCACCGGAUAAGUCAGCGGAAUGAUUGCCGGGCUGAAGACUCUGCAUGACUAGCUG
rnacentral:rRNA from 1 species